rnacentral:lncRNA from 1 species
CUUUAUAAUAUUCCUAUGAACUAUAAAAAUAGGGAUUAUAAUAGGUAAACUAUUUAUGAAUUUAUUCCCAUCUCCAUGGGAACUUUAUUCCCACCCUUUUCCUUGGGAAAUUUUUUCUAUUCCCAGUAACAUUUUAUACCUGGGAAUAAAAUUUAGUAAACUUGUAACAAACAUAGGCAUAUACAUUCCAAUCAUUUUAUUCCCGGGAAUCAACAAUUAUAACUUGAAACAAACACACCCUA